rnacentral:misc_RNA from 1 species
AACCUAGCACACCUGCGGUGUGUACCUGCGGAAGGAUCAUUACUGAGUGUAAAAACUCCCAAACCCACUGUGAACAUACCACUGUUGCUUCGGCGGAUGCGCCCCGGGCGCGCCCUACAAAGGCGUGCCCCGGAUCAAGGCCACCGCCGGGGGACCGAAACUCUUGUUUUCCUAAGGAUUCUCUGAGUGUGAUUAUUAAAUCAAAUCAAAACUUUUAGCAACGGAUCUCAGAUCGGAAGA